rnacentral:rRNA from 1 species
UACGUAGGCAGCAAGCGUUGUUCGGAGUUACUGGGCGUAAAGGGUGCGUAGGCGGCUUCUUAAGUCUGGUGUGAAAUCUCCCGGCUCAACUGGGAGGGUGCGCCGGAUACUGAGGGGCUAGAGUGUGGGAGAGGAAAGUGGAAUUCCUGGUGUAGCGGUGGAAUGCGUAGAUAUCAGGAGGAACACCGGUGGUGUAAACGGCUUUCUGGACCAUAACUGACGCUGAGGCACGAAAGCGUGGGUAGCAAACAGG